rnacentral:rRNA from 1 species
AGAGUUUGAUCCUGGCUCAGGACGAACGCUGGCGGCGUGCUUAACACAUGCAAGUCGAACGGAAAGGCCCUUCGGGGUACUCGAGUGGCGAACGGGUGAGUAACACGUGGGUGAUCUGCCCUGCACUCUGGGAUAAGCCUGGGAAACUGGGUCUAAUACCGGAUAGGACCGCAUGCUUCAUGGUGUGUGGUGCAAAGCUUUUGCGGUGUGGGAUGAGCCCGCGGCCUAUCAGCUUGUUGGUGGGGUAAUGGCCUACCAAGGCGACGACGGGUAGCCGGCCUGAGAGGGUGACCGGCCACACUGGGACUGAGAUACGGCCCAGACUCCUACGGGAGGCAGCAGUGGGGAAUAUUGCACAAUGGGCGCAAGCCUGAUGCAGCGACGCCGCGUGAGGGAUGACGGCCUUCGGGUUGUAAACCUCUUUCAGUAGGGACGAAGCGAAAGUGACGGUACCUACAGAAGAAGGACCGGCCAACUACGUGCCAGCAGCCGCGGUAAUACGUUGGGUCCGAGCGUUGUCCGGAAUUACUGGGCGUAAAGAGCUCGUAGGUGGUUUGUCGCGUUGUUCGUGAAAACUCACAGCUUAACUGUGGGCGUGCGGGCGAUACGGGCAGACUAGAGUACUGCAGGGGAGACUGGAAUUCCUGGUGUAGCGGUGGAAUGCGCAGAUAUCAGGAGGAACACCGGUGGCGAAGGCGGGUCUCUGGGCAGUAACUGACGCUGAGGAGCGAAAGCGUGGGUAGCGAACAGGAUUAGAUACCCCGGUAGUCCAA